CCUACGGGGGGCAGCAGUGGGGAAUAUUGCACAAUGGGGGAAACCCUGAUGCAGCGACGCCGCGUGAGUGAAGAAGUAUUUCGGUAUGUAAAGCUCUAUCAGCAGGGAAGAAAAAAGACGGUACCUGACUCAGAAGCCCCGGCUAAAUACGUGCCAGCAGCCGCGGUAAGACGUAGGGGGCAAGCGUUAUCCGGAUUUACUGGGUGUAAAGGGAGCUUAGACGGUAUGGCAAGUCUGAGGUGAAAGCCCAGGGCUUAACCCUGGGACUGCUGUGGAAACUGUUAGACUAGAGUGCUGGAGAGGUAAGUGGAAUGCCUGGUGUAGCGGUGAAAUGCGUAGAUAUUAGGCGGAACACCAGUGGCGAAGGCGGCUUACCGGACAGUAACUGACGUUGAGGCUCGAAAGCGUGGGGAGCAAACAGGAUUAGAUACCCCAGUAGUC
rnacentral:rRNA from 1 species